rnacentral:misc_RNA from 1 species
AUUGAUAUUGUUAAUGAUUCA